GACAGCCACAUCAUGUUGAAACACCUAUUCUCAAACAAUCAAAUAAGUUAAGCAAUGUCGAGCCUGGUCAGUACCUGGAUGGGUGACUGCUUGGAAAUACCAGGUGCUGUAA